rnacentral:lncRNA from 1 species
UACAAUCCAUUAAAAUUCUUCAAAUCUAGAAUCGACUUACCCAAUUUAUCUUCAUCUUCCCAAACUGGAAAAAAAUCGUAGAAGAAAAUUUAUCAAACUUAGUUCUGACUCACUCAGUAACUCAGCUUCAUGUUCAAAACCAACCGUCGGAGCUGACGAACAAAAAGGUAACGACAACCUUGGUUUGGUUGUUGUUGAUUCUAUUGAACGUGCGAGGUUUAAAACAGAAAAGCUAAUUAAUCAUAGAGAGGAGGUUAAUUUGGGUAGUGUUGUUAUUAUUUCUCUCUGUGAUGUGCCAUUGUUGUUGUUUUGUUUGGAUUGUUUUUUGCUGAUGGAAAAAUUGGGCAGGAGAAGAGGAACAAAAUAGUGAUGGAAAAGAGGAAAUAUUGGUUUCUCGGUAGCUUAAACAAG